UAAGGAUGUUGGUGUGUGCCACGG
rnacentral:piRNA from 1 species